rnacentral:tRNA from 3 species
GGGCGGUUAGCUCAGCUGGUAGAGCGCCUGCCUUACAAGCAGGAGGUCACUGGUUCGAGCCCAGUACCGCCCA